rnacentral:tRNA from 1 species
UGUGGCUCAGUGGUAGAGCACUUGCCUAGCAUGUGUGAGGCCCUGGGUUUAAUUCUCAGCA